CCUCUAUGGACGGCUGCUUAACCAUUAAAAUUAGUUCCCUGUUCUAGAAAUUUCAAAUCUCUAUUAUAAUUGAGUAUAACAAACCAUGCCUUAAACAUUACUUCCAGGCCAAUCUAAAUGUCCCAUGUUGUCCACAUUUAAAUACCAAGCUCCUGCAGCAAUCUCAUCAUACAACUGAUCCCAGCCCCAACUUGCAUACCCAAAGAAAAACCAGUAGUCAGCAAUGGAUUGAUUUCCUGACUUUAGUUCUUCAAUCUCAUGGAGUGUGGCUUUUUGAUCAAGAAAGUAUAUACCUGAUGCAACUUCUGGGUAUUGAUCUUUGAUUAGUCUUCUAGUUAGAGCAACAAAAGGCUUUCCACCUUUUAUAAGUGGACCGCCCAAAGAUAGAGGAGCUUCUUUUAGUAGUUCGAACCCUUUGUCCAGAUCAUCCACGGAGUCCCAUUUGAUAAGAUUAUUAUAAAUCAGACCUUCAAAUCCUGUAUUUUGAUUGACCUUCACAAUGAGAACCAUUGAUUUAUCAAAUGGUGCCAUAGUGAGCUUUUCAGUAGCAACAAGGGUUGAGCCAACCACCACAUGAGAAAUUGUUUCAUGCAAG
rnacentral:misc_RNA from 1 species